UAACAAAAAUACAGUUUUUGGUUCUGUAUGGUUGUAUAGUUACCGUGUCACGUCUACCUGCAGAUUCGGCGGAGGGUGGAGAGAGAGCAGCAAGAGCAGGAAAGGCAGCGGCAGCUGGAGGAGCAGCAGAGGGUAAAAAUGCUCAUGAUGCAUUAAUCUCAAGAAGAAGGAGGAGGAGUGGAGGAGUCAUGUGGCGAAACUAGCAUCUGAACGCGAGUCUCUACGUGACAGAUUACACAGGCUACGUGAAUUCAGGGACUUUCAGAAAAAGGUGCUGAUACAGGACCUGGGCCUGGAUCCAGACUCAUCCAAUGAGAAGCUGACAAAAAUCCUUAGGAGAUUGUAAUGGUGGUUAUUUGAAGAGACAGAAACACUGAAUGUAAAAUAUGCUGGAGGAAAACCUUUAAAAUAUGAGAUAUGUAGUGAACAGCUUUAUAGUUAAAGCAUUAAUCUAUUAUAUUUUACUGUGAAGAAAAUCAACGUUUUCAACUUUG
rnacentral:lncRNA from 1 species